UACGUAGGGGGCUAGCGUUGUCCGGAAUCAUUGGGCGUAAAGCGCGUGUAGGCGGUCCGGUAAGUCCGCUGUGAAAGUCGAGGGCUCAACCCUCGAAUGCCGGUGGAUACUGUCGGGCUAGAGUACGGAAGAGGCGAGUGGAAUUCCUGGUGUAGCGGUGAAAUGCGCAGAUAUCAGGAGGAACACCAAUUGCGAAGGCAGCUCGCUGGGACGGUACUGACGCUAAGGCGCGAAAGCGUGGGGAGCAAACAGG
rnacentral:rRNA from 1 species